GUCGAACGGAAGAAUACGGCGACGAGAUUUCGGUCAAAUCAAGUGUAUCUUUAGUGGCGGACGGGUGAGUAACGCGUGGGUAACCUGCCAUAUACAGGGGGAUAACACUUAGAAAUAGGUGCUAAUACCGCAUAAGCGCACAUGGCCGCAUGGCCAGGUGUGAAAAACUCCGGUGGUAUAUGAUGGACCCGCGUCUGAUUAGCUAGUUGGUGAGGUAACGGCCCACCAAGGCGACGAUCAGUAGCCGGCCUGAGAGGGUGGACGGCCACAUUGGGACUGAGACACGGCCCAAACUCCUACGGGAGGCAGCAGUGGGGGAUAUUGGACAAUGGGGGGAACCCUGAUCCAGCGACGCCGCGUGAGUGAAGAAGUAUCUCGGUAUGUAAAGCUCUAUCAGCAGGGAAGAAAGAAAUGACGGUACCUGAGUAAGAAGCCCCGGCUAACUACGUGCCAGCAGCCGCGGUAAUACGUAGGGGGCAAGCGUUAUCCGGAAUUACUGGGUGUAAAGGGAGCGUAGACGGUGAUGUAAGUCUGGAGUGAAAGGCGGGGGCCCAACCCCCGGACUGCUCUGGAAACUAUAUGACUGGAGUGCAGGAGAGGUGAGCGGAAUUCCUAGUGUAGCGGUGAAAUGCGUAGAUAUUAGGAGGAACACCAGUGGCGAAGGCGGCUCACUGGACUGUAACUGACGUUGAGGCUCGAAAGCGUGGGGAGCAAACAGGAUUAGAUACCCUGGUAGUCCACGCCGUAAACGAUGAUCACUAGGUGUGGGUGGGUAUGGACCCAUCGGUGCCGCAGCAAACGCAGUAAGUGAUCCACCUGGGGAGUACGUUCGC
rnacentral:rRNA from 1 species